rnacentral:rRNA from 1 species
UCGGCACUUAGUGGCGGACGGGUGAGUAACGCGUGAGAAUCUGGCUUCGGGUUCGGGACAACAGUGGGAAACUGCUGCUAAUACCGGAUGUGCCUAAAGGUAAAAGAUUAAUUGCCCGAAGAUGAGCUCGCGUCCGAUUAGCUAGUUGGUGUGGUAAGAGCGCACCAAGGCGUCGAUCGGUAGCUGGUCUGAGAGGACGAUCAGCCACACUGGGACUGAGACACGGCCCAGACUCCUAUGGGAGGCAGCAGUGGGGAAUUUUCCGCAAUGGGCGAAAGCCUGGCGGAGCAAUACCGCGUGAGGGAGGAAGGCUCUUGGGUUGUAAACCUCUUUUCUCAGGGAAGAACACAAUGACGGUACCUGAGGAAUCAGCAUCGGCUAACUCCGUGCCAGCAGCCGCGGUAAUACGGAGGAUGCAAGCGUUAUCCGGAAUGAUUGGGCGUAAAGCGUCCGCAGGUGGCUUAUCAAGUCGAUUGUCAAAGGUCCUGGCUCAACUGGGAACAGGCAGUGGAAACUGAAAAGCUAGAGUGCGGUAGGGGUAGAGGGAAUUCCCGGUGUAGCGGUGAAAUGCGUAGAGAUCGGGAAGAACACCAGUGGCGAAAGCGCUCUACUAGGCCUGCACUGACACUCAGGGACGAAAGCUAGGGGAGCGAAUGGGAUUAGAUACCCCAGUAGUCCUUGCCGUAAACGAUGGAUACUAGGCGCUGAGAGUAUCGACCCUCUCAGUGCCGUAGCUAACGCGUUAAGUAUCCCGCCUGGGGAGUACGCACGCAAGUGUGAAACUCAAAGGAAUUGACGGGGGCCCGCACAAGCGGUGGAGUAUGUGGUUUAAUUCGAUGCAACGCGAAGAACCUUACCAGGGCUUGACAUGUCCGGAACCUCUGGGAAACCAGGGGGUGCCUUCGGGAGCCGGAACACAGGUGGUGCAUGGCUGUCGUCAGCUCGUGUCGUGAGAUGUUGGGUUAAGUCCCGCAACGAGCGCAACCCUCGUGCUUAGUUGCCAUCAUUAAGUUGGGAACUCUAAGCAGACUGCCGGUGACAAACCCAGAGGAAGGUGGGGAUGACGUCAAGUCAGCAUGCCCCUUACGCUCUGGG